rfam:Sulfitobacter sp. H3 contig27, whole genome shotgun sequence.
AGGUCGGGAGGCACUCGGUGGGACGAGGGCCAUGAAUUGACCGAAACCCAACCAUCUCGACUGGGCGGUGUACCGUGGCCCGACGGUGCGCGCG